UUUAAAUUUAUUUUUCGGCAAGAUAUUGUGUCUGUAUAUCUACGACAUUAACGUGAACGUAAACAUGAAGCUUAAUCCAAUUUCUCUUUACCCAAAUCUUAGCAAUGCUUUCUCAAAUAAAAGAUUUUACAAAAUCAACUAUGACGGAUCAAAUAUGCAAAUAGUUAUGCGAGUACAACAAAGAUCAUACUAGUUGUAUUUUU
rnacentral:sRNA from 1 species